UACGUAGGGUGCGAGCGUUGUCCGGAAUUAUUGGGCGUAAAGAGCUCGUAGGCGGUCUGUCGCGUCGGUCGUGAAAACCUGCAGCUUAACUGUGGGCGUGCGGUCGAUACGGGCAUGACUGGAGUUCGGCAGGGGAGACUGGAAUUCCUGGUGUAGCGGUGAAAAUGCGCAGAUAUCAGGAGGAACACCGGUGGCGAAGGCGGGUCUCUGGGCCGAUACUGACGCUGAGGAAGCGAAAAGCCGUGGGGAGCGAACAGG
rnacentral:rRNA from 1 species